rnacentral:rRNA from 1 species
AAUACUUAGGAAUCUGCCUAUUAGUGGGGGACAACAUUUCGAAAGGAAUGCUAAUACCGCAUACGCCCUACGGGGGAAAGCAGGGGCUCUUCGGACCUUGCGCUAAUAGAUGAGCCUAAGUCAGAUUAGCUAGUUGGUGGGGUAAAGGCCUACCAAGGCGACGAUCUGUAACGGGUCUGAGAGGAUGAUCCGUCACACUGGGACUGAGACACGGCCCAGACUCCUACGGGAGGCAGCAGUGGGGAAUAUUGGACGAUGGGGGCAACCCUGAUCCAGCCAUGCCGCGUGUGUGAAGAAGGCCUUUUGGUUGUAAAGCACUUUAAGCGAGGAGGAGGCUCCUGUAGAUAAUACCUACAGUGAGUGGACGUUACUCGCAGAAUAAGCACCGGCUAACUCUGUGCCAGCAGCCGCGGUAAUACAGAGGGUGCGAGCGUUAAUCGGAUUUACUGGGCGUAAAGCGUGCGUAGGUGGCCAAUUAAGUCAAAUGUGAAAUCCCUGAGCUUAACUUAGGAAUUGCAUUCGAUACUGGUUGGCUAGAGUAUGGGAGAGGAUGGUAGAAUUCCAGGUGUAGCGGUGAAAUGCGUAGAGAUCUGGAGG